GUGAACGCUGGCGGUAGGCCUAACCCAUGCAAGUCGAACGGCAGCACAGUAAGAGCUUGCUCUUACGGGUGGCGAGUGGCGGACGGGUGAGGAAUACAUCGGAAUCUACUUUUUCGUGGGGGAUAACGUAGGGAAACUUACGCUAAUACCGCAUACGACCUACGGGUGAAAGCAGGGGAUCUUCGGACCUUGCGCGAUUGAAUGAGCCGAUGUCGGAUUAGCUAGUUGGCGGGGUAAAGGCCCACCAAGGCGACGAUCCGUAGCUGGUCUGAGAGGAUGAUCAGCCACACUGGAACUGAGACACGGUCCAGACUCCUACGGGAGGCAGCAGUGGGGAAUAUUGGACAAUGGGCGCAAGCCUGAUCCAGCCAUACCGCGUGGGUGAAGAAGGCCUUCGGGUUGUAAAGCCCUUUUGUUGGGAAAGAAAAGCAGCAGGUUAAUACCCCGCUGUUCUGACGGUACCCAAAGAAUAAGCACCGGCUAACUUCG
rnacentral:rRNA from 1 species